UACGAAGGGGGCUAGCGUUGCUCGGAAUUACUGGGCGUAAAGCGUGCGCAGGCGGCUUUGCAAGACAGGUGUGAAAUCCCCGGGCUUAACCUGGGAACUGCAUUUGUGACUGCAUGGCUGGAGUGCGGCAGAGGGGGAUGGAAUUCCGCGUGUAGCAGUGAAAUGCGUAGAUAUGCGGAGGAACACCGAUGGCGAAGGCAAUCCCCUGGGCCUGCACUGACGCUCAUGCACGAAAGCGUGGGGAGCAAACAGG
rnacentral:rRNA from 1 species